rnacentral:rRNA from 1 species
UGGGUUCUCCCAGGAGCAUGUCUGUCUGAGUGUCGGU